GAUGAACGCUGGCGGCGUGCCUAAUACAUGCCAGUCGAGCGAACAGACGAGGAGCUUGCUCCUCUGACGUUAGCGGCGGACGGGUGAGUAACACGUGGAUAACCUACCUAUAAGACUGGGAUAACUUCGGGAAACCGGAGCUAAUACCGGAUAAUAUAUUGAACCGCAUGGUUCAAUAGUGAAAGACGGUUUUGCUGUCACUUAUAGAUGGAUCCGCGCCGCAUUAGCUAGUUGGUAAGGUAACGGCUUACCAAGGCAACGAUGCGUAGCCGACCUGAGAGGUUGAUCGGCCACACUGGAACUGAGACACGGUCCAGACUCCUACGGGAGGCAGCAGUAGGGAAUCUUCCGCAAUGGGCGAAAGCCUGACGGAGCAACGCCGCGUGAGUGAUGAAGGUCUUCGGAUCGUAAAACUCUGUUAUUAGGGAAGAACAAAUGUGUAAGUAACUAUGCACGUCUUGACGGUACCUAAUCAGAAAGCCACGGCUAACUACGUG
rnacentral:rRNA from 1 species